GACGAACGCUGGCGGCGUGCUUAACAAAUGCAAGUCGAGCGGAAAGGCCACUUCGGUGGUACUCGAGCGGCGAACGGGUGAGUAACACGUGAGUAAUCUGCCCUUGGCUUCGGGAUAGCCACCGGAAACGGUGAUUAAUACCGGAUACGACCACUCUAGGCAUCUAGUGGUGGUGGAAAGUUUUUCGGCCAGGGAUGUGCUCGCGGCCUAUCAGCUUGAUGGUGAGGUAAUGGCUCACCAUGGCUUCGACGGGUAGCCGGCCUGAGAGGGUGACCGGUCACACUGGGACUGAGACACGGCCCCGACUCCUACGGGAGGCAGCAGUGAGGAAUAUUGGACAAUGGGCGGAAGCCUGAUCCAGCAACGCCGCGUGAGGGAUGACGGCCUUCGGGUUGUAAACCUCUUUCGGUAGGGACGAAGCGCAAGUGACGGUACCUACUAAAGAAGCACCGGCCAACUACGUGCCAGCCGCCGCCGUAACAC
rnacentral:rRNA from 1 species